rnacentral:rRNA from 1 species
CCUACGGGAGGCUGCAGUGGGGAAUAUUGGACAAUGGGGGCAACCCUGAUCCAGCCAUGCCGCGUGUGUGAAGAAGGCCCUCGGGUUGUAAAGCACUUUCAGUGAGGAAGAACGCCUGGUGGUUAAUACCCAUCAGGAAAGACAUCACUCACAGAAGAAGCACCGGCUAACUCCGUGCCAGCAGCCGCGGUAAUACGGAGGGUGCGAGCGUUAAACGGAAUUACUGGGCGUAAAGCGCGCGUAGGUGGCUUGAUAAGCCGGUUGUGAAAGCCCCGGGCUCAACCUGGGAACGGCAUCCGGAACUGUCAAGCUAGAGUGCAGGAGAGGAAGGUAGAAUUCCCGGUGUAGCGGUGAAAUGCGUAGAGAUCGGGAGGAAUACCAGUGGCGAAGGCGGCCUUCUGGACUGACACUGACACUGAGGUGCGAAAGCGUGGGUAGCAAACAGGAUUAGAUACCCGUGUAGUC